GGCAAGGGCCGGGCUCGGGGGAGUCUGAGGGGCAUCUCAGCUGCACACCGAGGCCCCUCGGGACAGCUGCUGACGCGUGGCCCGACCUCUCCUGGGGAAGUUCAACUCAAGGUGCAGAACAAGUCAGGUCAGGGCAGAGAGCCUGGUGGGGGGUGUGGGCAGGGGGAGGCUCCCGGUGACCCCACGGGAAACCCCGCAGAGGCUCUGGGGCAGGAGUCACUGUGAGGUGAGGAGAGAACCAUCCGGAGUCGCCAUCCACGGACAGAUGCGGUUCUACAGGGUGAGGCAGGACAAGGCAUGUCCCAGCACUGACUUGAAACUGUCCUGAAGCCACUGGAGCUGGUGUCCUAGGCAGAGAGGUCACACAGGCAGAGCUCUGAGUGCCAGAGACAUGGGACUCAUCAGGUAAAGGAAAGGAGGGUUUCAAAAACUUGGGAUCGGCCGGAAAAGCACCUGAAGCAAGGCCUGAUUGAGCUUGCCCCUGUGUCUUGAAUACCACCUUCUGGAGUGCAGGAGAGGACGCACAGGCCACAGUUGCAGGCUGGAGUACAAUGGCGUGAUCUCAGCUCACUGCAACCUCUGCCUCCCAGGCUCAAGCAAUUCUUGUGCCUCAGCCUCCCAAGUAGCUGGGACUACAGGCAUGUGCGGGUUUGCAUUUUGGUGAGUGGAAAAUCAUAUCUACCCUCCUGUUAAAUGCCAUGGUCCCUGCUGUGGUCUCUGGUACACUGUGUCUUGAUUCUUAUUCAUCUCAAAGUAUUUUCUGGUUUCUGUUUUUCUUAGACUCAUUGGCUAUUUAGGAGUGUGUUGUAUAAUUUCCACAUAUUUGUGAGUUUCCCAAAUUGUCUCCACAAAGUCUUACUCUGUCGCCCAGGCUGGAGUGCACUGGCGUGAUCAUGGCUCACUGCAGUCUUGACCUCCUGGGCUCAAGUGAUCCUCCCAUCUCAGCCUCCCAAGUAGCUGGGACUACAGGCAUGUGCCCCUACACCAACUAAUUUAUUACUUUUUUUAAUAGAGAUGAGGUCUUGCUAUGUAGCCCAGACGGGCAUCGAGCUCCUGGCCUCAAGUGAUCCUCCCAAGUCGGCCUUCCAAAGUGCUGGGAUUAUAGGUGUGAGUGCUGUGCCCGACUCUUGUCAUCAAUUUCUAAUGUCACUCCCUCGUGCUUGGAGCACGUG
rnacentral:lncRNA from 1 species